rnacentral:rRNA from 1 species
GAGUUUGAUCCUGGCUCAGAACGAACGCUGGCGGCGUGCCUAACACAUGCAAGUCGAACGUGAUCCAGAGCUUGCUCUGGUGAAAGUGGCGCACGGGUGAGUAACGCGUGGAUAACCUACCCUGGUAUCCGGGAUAACAUUCCGAAAGGGGUGCUAACACCGGAUAAGCCCACGGGCUCUUUGGAGCUUGCGGGAAAAGGUGGCCUCUAUUUAUAAGCUACUGUAUCAGGAUGGGUCCGCGUACCAUUAGCUAGUUGGCGGUGUAACGGACCACCAAGGCGACGAUGGUUAGCUGGUCUGAGAGGAUGAUCAGCCACACUGGAACUGAGACACGGUCCAGACUCCUACGGGAGGCAGCAGUGGGGAAUUUUGCGCAAUGGGGGAAACCCUGACGCAGCAACGCCGCGUGAGUGAUGAAGGCCUUUGGGUCGUAAAGCUCUGUCAGAGGGGAAGAAAUGAUAUAGUGCUAAUACCACUUUAUCUUGACGGUACCCUCAAAGGAAGCACCGGCUAACUCCGUGCCAGCAGCCGCGGUAAUAC